rfam:Magnetococcus sp. MC-1, complete genome.
AGAUGGAAUGAUUUGUGUAUAGUCUCCGUCUUUUCGUCGAGUAAUUCGAGAUUCGAACUGGCCGGAGGAGUGUCAAGUGGCCCGUAUUGCUGGUGUUAACAUACCUGUU